CGCCGUUUCACUCCACUGUAUGAGCGGCGUACAUCCAGAAGGAGGUCAUGUCAACCCCGUUUAGACUCACGGUGCGGCAGCGUGGAGACCUGUCGUAAUGCGGAGUGAUUCAGCGCAAUUGCCCGCGAGGCAGUUUGGCGGAGGCCAUUCUGUCAGAGUCUGGCUUAUG
rnacentral:ncRNA from 1 species